rnacentral:rRNA from 1 species
AUUGAACGCUGGCGGCACGCUUAACACAUGCAAGUUGAACGGUAACAUGACUUUGGGCAACUAAGGUUGAUGACGAGUGGCGGACGGGUGAGUAACGCGUGGGGAUCUAGCCUAUGGUGGGGGACAACCCGGGGAAACUCGGGCUAAUACCGCAUAAGCCCUGAGGGGGAAAGGUGGCGCCUGAAAGGGGCCAUCGCCGAAGGAUGACCCUGCGUCCAAUUAGCUAGUUGGUGAGGUAGAGGCUCACCAAGGCGAUGAUUGGUAGCUGUUCUGAGAGGAAGACCAGCCACACUGGGACUGAGACACGGCCCAGACUCCUACGGGAGGCAGCAGUGGGGAAUCUUGGACAAUGGGGGCAACCCUGAUCCAGCGAUGCCGCGUGUGUGAAGAAGGCCUGCGGGUUGUAAAGCACUUUUGUUGGGGAGGAAAGUGUAGGGGUGAAUAGCCCUUAUGCAUGACGUUACCUAACGAAUAAGCACCGGCUAACUCUGUGCCAGCAGCCGCGGUAAGACAGAGGGUGCGAGCGUUAAUCGGAAUUACUGGGCGUAAAGGGCGCGUAGGUGGAAGGAUAAGUGAGAGGUGAAAUACCCGGGCUUAACCUGGGGGAGUCCUCUUAGACUGACCAUCUCGAGUGUAGGAGAG